GACGAACGCUGGCGGCGCGCCUAACACAUGCAAGUCGAACGAGAGAGAGGGAGCUUGCUUCCUCAAUCGAGUGGCGAACGGGUGAGUAACGCGUGAGGAACCUGCCUCAAAGAGGGGGACAACAGUUGGAAACGACUGCUAAUACCGCAUAAGCCCACAGGUCGGCAUCGACCAGAGGGAAAAGGAGCAAUCCGCUUUGAGAUGGCCUCGCGUCCGAUUAGCUAGUUGGUGAGGUAAUGGCCCACCAAGGCAACGAUCGGUAGCCGGACUGAGAGGUUGAACGGCCACAUUGGGACUGAGACACGGCCCAGACUCCUACGGGAGGCAGCAGUGGGGAAUAUUGCACAAUGGGGGAAACCCUGAUGCAGCGACGCCGCGUGGAGGAAGAAGGUCUUCGGAUUGUAAACUCCUGUUGUUGAGGAAGAUAAUGACGGUACUCAACAAGGAAGUGACGGC
rnacentral:rRNA from 1 species